rnacentral:rRNA from 1 species
UGUAAGCGUAUACCAAAGUUGUUGCAGUUAAAACGCUCGUAGUCGGAAUUUGGCAGUUCCGGAAGUGUGCACGUCGUGUGCGCACUUUGCGGGGACUGCUUUUGUGGUCUUGCGUAGGAUGAGGCACUUUCAUUAGUGAACGUCCUCACGCAACCACUCUUCACUGUGAGAAAAUCAGAGUGCUCAAAGCAGGCAUUUGCCGUGAAUGUAUUAGCAUGGAAUAAUAGAAUAGGACUCGGUUCUAUUUUGUUGGUUUGUUGGGACUGAGUAAUGAUUAAGAGGGACAGUUGGGGGCAUUUGUAUUCCGGCGCUAGAGGUGAAAUUCUUAGAUUGCCGGAAGACAAACUGCUGCGAAAGCGUCUGCCAAGGAUGUUUUCAUUGG